GAUAAAUUGGAGAAGAGCCCAAGAGAAAUUUUUCAUCCCUUGAUAUAAAAGGGAUCGGUGAAUUUUAACUUUGGAGUCCUCUAUGCUAAGGAUGCUCAGCUUACAGAUGAUGAAAUGUUCAGUAAUGUAUUUGCUGCAGCUCUGCUUACCCAAGCUUUGUGUUCCUUCUGUCCCACUGGGAGUUGCCCAGUUUGGUUGCAUCUGGUGAAAUUCACCCUGAGACCUUACACAACUAGCUCAAACUACGUGAGAGCCAUUUGCAGUUCUCUCCAGACACCUGGAGAAUGGGUGACGUUUCUGAGGGUCUGGCAAGUGUACUUCUAUCAAAACUCAGUCUGUGAAGUUUCUGGGGAAAACCCUUCUGUGUCCUGAAGGGUUCAAACUCCUGUGAGGAUCCAUUUAUCAGGUGCUCACCUGGAUGGUUCCAGCUCUUAAAGUGAACACUUGUACUCUUACCCUGUAGUUUACAUCUAUUGUAUUUUUGUUAUUUUGCAAGAUUUUUUUAUCUUUGCAAAAUAUUGUGCAUUUCACUCUUUGGAACCUCUCAGAUGGUUCUUUGGUGCAGCACCACCCCAUGGGACACUUGGCUGCUGUCCUGAAGGGGAUGGUCGCUAGAAUUGUAAAUUCUGGAGAGUUUAUAAGUCUUCUGUCCCCAGGGAGGUACCAUGCUUUGUUUACUUUUGUUCUGUUUGUUAGGCGCUGCUUCUCGUUGCAAGUAUGAAUUUCAAACUGCCCUGUUCUUAUUUUAACUGUUUUCCUGGUUCUCUCCGUCCGACAGGGAAAGACUCUCAUAUCCUCGUCGUCGGGCUCGGUGCUGUCCAAGAAGAUACAGAGACUAAAAAAAUCAUAAGAAGCAAAAUAUGACUGCAGGGAAAAGAAGCUGGAGAGAACAGAAGGGCCCUGUCGUACUAAUCAUCAUCCAGAUGCAAAACAAAAAAUCAGACCCUGUCCCAAGCACUUAGAGCCCAGAAUACGAUUUCCUCAGGCUGCCAUUUGUGUGCCAUCGGUACUCACCAUGGAAGCGAGCUGGGGAUUGUUGCACCCGUUGGGAACAAACUGCUUCUUGUCACACAGAAAUGGAAUUGGGACGACGCCUCGGCCAGCCCCUCUCUGCCAUCGUCUCCUGAAUCUGCAGCAGAGCAGUUCCAGUCCAUCCGGGCACGUGCAAUCCAGUUCCUGAUGAUCUGAGCACACGGAGCAGCGCUCAGCUGCUAUGGGGGGCUCAGGGAAGGCAGAGUGUGCAUUGUCAUCUUCCUGAACCUACAGACAAAUCAAAGUGAGAAGCCACAGGGUGGAAAUCAGUUGCAUAUAUGCUAAACAAAACUUGCAGGUUGUUUUUAAGAAUUGUUUUUGCUUGUUCUUUGUUGUGCUUCUGUGCUUAGAAAACCUCCCUUUAAAAUCAGUUCAGUUCAUCAGUUGAACCUUUGUUUGCAGACCCUCAGUGAGCAGAAUUUGUUGCAGACUCAGUGCACGCUGUGCCGGCCUCCCGGGAGUGUGAGGAGCUCAUGUGUGCUACUUUUUGCUUUAGGACGCUCUGAGGUAUUUAUUCCUUUUGGGAUACGUGAUGAGAAUUCCCAAGAGAGGUAGUUAUAAGGUAUGACAUUGGGAAAAAGCCUGUGUGGUUGGAAUGUUGUUGCUGUCAAAAGUUAAUUUUUCCUUCAUUCUUAGCCAGUAGUUAGCUUUUUGCUUUAUUUUUGUGGUAUCAGUAUUUUAUUGUUUAAAAAAUUCCUUCAAAAUAACUUCAGUGGUUGCCCACCAGUAUCUUGUUCAGAUUUGCCUAUUUGCUUGUAGCUGAAAUGUUCACAUCUUGUUUAUCAUUCUGUUUAAGAAACUGCUGCCCAGCCAACUAAUAACUGAAUAUCCAUCUGUCUGGGACACGGGGAGAGGAUUUAGGUAAUGUCUUUGUUUCCAGAAAAAAGUUCCAGUGAAGUUUCUAAAUAGAGGAGAAGGGGGUGAAGACUCAGGGCUCUGAUGCCGUUGGGGCACCCCAAGGUCCCCAGGAGAGGGAGCGGUGCAGGAGCAGGUGUGUUCUCAUCUAAUA